CCUGAUGCAGCGACGCCGCGUGAGGGAUGAAGGCCUAUCGGGUUGUAAACCUCUUUCAGCAGGGACGAAGCGAAAGUGACGGUACCUGCAGAAGAAGCACCGGCUAACUACGUGCCAGCAGCCGCGGUAAUACGUAGGGUGCGAGCGUUGUCCGGAAUUACUGGGCGUAAAGAGUUCGUAGGCGGUUUGUCGCGUCGUCUGUGAAAACCCAUCGCUCAACGAUGGGCCGGCAGGCGAUACGGGCAGACUUGAGUACUGCAGGGGAGACUGGAAUUCCUGGUGUAGCGGUGAAAUGCGCAGAUAUCAGGAGGAACACCGGUGGCGAAGGCGGGUCUCUGGGCAGUAACUGACGCUGAGGAACGAAAGCGUGGGUAGCAAACAGGAUUAGAUACCCUGGUAGUCCACGCCGUAAACGGUGGGCGCUAGGUGUGGGUUCCUUCCACGGGAUCUGUGCCGUAGCUAACGCAUUAAGCGCCCCGCCUGGGGAGUACGGCCGCAAGGCUAAAACUCAAAGGAAUUGACGGGGGCCCGCACAAGCGGCGGAGCAUGUGGAUUAAUUCGAUGCAACGCGAAGAACCUUACCUGGGUUUGACAUAUACUGGAAAGCUGCAGAGAUGUAGCCCCCCUUGUGGCCGG
rnacentral:rRNA from 1 species